GGGUGAUUAGCUCAGCUGGGAGAGCACCUCCCACCAAGGGGUCGGCGGUUUCGAUCCCGUCAUCACCCACCA
rnacentral:tRNA from 1 species